GACGAACGCUGGCGGCGUGCCUAAUACAUGCAAGUUGAGCGCUGAAGGUUGGUACUUGUACCAACUGGAUGAGCAGCGCACGGGUGAGUAACGCGUGGGGAAUCUGCCUUUGAGCGGGGGACAACAUUUGGAAACGAAUGCUAAUACCGCAUAACAACUUUAAACACAAGUUUUAAGUUUGAAAGAUGCAAUUGCAUCACUCAAAGAUGAUCCCGCGUUGUAUUAGCUAGUUGGUGAGGUAAAGGCUCACCAAGGCGAUGACACAUAGCCGACCUGAGAGGGUGGUCGGCCACAUUGGGAAUGAGACACGGCCCAAGAUCCUACGGGAGGGAGCAGGAGGGAAUCUUCGGCCAUGGACGAAAGUCUGACCGAGCAACGCCGCGGGAGGGAAGAAGGUUUUCGGAUCGUAAAACUCUGUUGGUAGGGAAGAACGUUGGUGAGAGUGGAAAGCUCAUCAAGUGACGGUAACUACCCAGAAAGGGACGGCUAACUACGUG
rnacentral:rRNA from 1 species